UUAAUAUAAUUUGUUUGGUUUUAUAACCCUUCUCUUUCAUAUAGUGGGCUAGUUCAAAUAGUAGUAUUUUAGGCAAGAUUUAUGGCAAAAGAUCUAAAACUACAAAGUAAAUUACCAGAUAUACCUACCUGAGACGAUACUAUCUGAAGUAUUUGUUUACCAAACAGAAAUCGUUUAAUCCUGUAAAUCUGAUUAAAAGCUUUAAUCUAUUCAUUCGUUUGUCUAUUUAAGGAACGUGCAAAUGCGUAGUGUCCAAGCAUAUUUGAAGGAAUUCAAAUCUAUGCGGCUAUAAGAUACUUUCAUAGCUCCUUAAAUCUGCAAUUGGCCAGUCUAUCAUUUCUAGUAUCCUAAUCCUAAUGGGUACUGAAUUGCGAUCGGCUGCUGUUGAUCCAUCAUUUCUGGUUAGGGUUCUGAAAUAACUCCAUUACUGUUAUACAAACAUCCAUUUUGGUAUUGUCAAUUAUCAUUUACUGUAUCUUAUUUCAUGUGGGUACUGAGAUAGUUAUAUAAUUUCAUAAACAUCCAAGCGGGUACUGUUCAAUCAUCAUCUCUAGAAGCCUAAUUGAUUGGGGUAUUGAGAUUGAGCAGUGGAAAUUGUGAAAUUUUCCCACCUAGUAAUGGAAAAAUCUCCCACAACCCCACUUUUGGUACCAUCUGACCUUGAGGGAUGCCAACAAGAAGUGCCUUGUCUGGAAGACUACGUCCCUGCAACUUUUUCCAAAAAUUUAGGCAGAGAAAUUUGGGAGGAGUCCAAAAAGGUGUUGAGCUUGGCUGCUCCUGUGGGAUUUAACAGGGUAUCCACCUAUGCCUUUGGGGUUGUCACUCAGGCUUAUGCUGGUCAAUUCGGCACUGUGGAACUUGCUGCCGUGUCCUUGGCUACUAGUACCAUUGGGGGAAUCUCCUUUGGGCUCAUGACAGGGAUGUCAAGUGCACAACAGACAUUAUCUGGUCAAGCAUUUGGUGCAAAGAAAUUCAACCUUCUUGGGAUUUACCUGCAGCAAUCUUUUAUAGUAAUGAAUGUAACUGCACUUUUAUUCAGUUUAGUGUAUCUUUUUGCAGCACCUCUUCUAAAGGUGCUGGGGCAAUCAGAACAGGUGGCUGACCUGACUGGACAGUUUGCCCUUUGGUCCCUUCCUCAGCUAUUUGCAUAUGCAAACUAUUUUCCUACUCAGAAGUUCUUCCAAUCACAACGAAAAGUCAUCGUCCAGGCCACGAUCUGUGCAGGUUCAUUGGCUUGCCAUGUUUUCUUGAAUUGGUUGCUAAUCACUAAGCUUGGGUUUGGACUCCUUGCGCUGGCUAUGGCCUUGAAUGCAUCCUGGUGGUUAGUUGUUAUAGGACAGUUUUUAUAUGUUGUGAUUGGACCGUUCCCAGAAACAUGGACUGGUUUCUCAGUUGAUAUCUUUCACGAUGUUUGGAGCUUUUUAAAGCUUUCAGCUUCAUCCGCUGUGAUGGCAUGUGUGGACCUCUGGUACUAUAGAGUUUUGGCUCUUUUAACUGGAAUUCUGAACAAUCCAGCAAUCGCAGUGGAUUCAUAUUCUAUAUGUUUAAGUGUAUAUGAAGGGCUCAUGAUGUUCAAUAGCCGUGCUGCAACAAGUGUCAUAAUAUCAAAUGAAUUAGGAGCUGGGCGUCCAAAGCGUACACUAUUUGCUGCCUAUGUUUGUCUAGGCAUAGCGAUGACAUUUGGGACUAUAUUUUUCACUUGCAUUCUCAUAGCUAGACAUGAUAUAGCAUCCAUGUUCACCAGCAAUGCCACUGUUGGUCACAUGGUGUAUGAGUUGUCAAUAUUCCUCGCAUUUACACUGCUUAUCAAUAGUGCUCAACCAGUUCUUUCAGGAGUAGCAGUUGGUGCAGGAUGGCAAGCUUAUGUGGCUAAAGUGAACAUAGUUUGCUAUUAUUUUAUCGGUGUUCCUAUAAGUGCUUUUCUUGCGUUUAAGUGCAAUCUCCAAGUAAAGGGAAUUUGGAUGGGACUCCUGGUUGGGACUUCAUCACAGAUAUUGAUACUUGCGUUCAACACAUACAGGACGGAUUGGGCUAAAGAGGCUAAUGCAGCCAAAAAUCGUUUCAAAGUAUCAGGAAAAUCUCGUCUGUGCUCUAAAUGAAUUAUGCCUUACCUUCUUUCUGAUUUGAGAGGUACCUGGUGGAUGCUGGCUGUUGAUUAGAUCAAUUCCAAUAGUUGUCAUGGGGCUUUAGUAGGAUAUUUUGAUGAUUAUUGAGGCCCUCUCCUUGUUGAUUAAGGCUAGACCAGUGUAAAAAGUGGAAUUUAUCCACAGAAUGUCUCUUUGUAGACAAUUCUUGACAGAAUGUAAUAACUGAAAAUGCAAUCCAUCGACGAACUUCACGUCAAUGUGUAAUAAAUUGGAAUAUAUGAGGAUUAUAUUUGAAGGUGCUGAAACUUCUGCAUGUCAUGUAAAUCUUUCCCAGAAGAAUGCUCAGUUGCAACAUCAGAUGCGACUUGUGGAAAAAUGUCACAAGCAAAAGGAGAGAGUCAAAAUAUCUUCUUUUUCUCUUCUCAGAUCAUGUAGCAGCUCUUGGGAAUUAUGCUGUGGCAUUUAAUUUUACUAGCUACAGAGGCACACAAAAGCAGAUUCAUGGUAAGCAUUACCAAUUGGAUGUUUUUCUUGUAGAAAAACAACAUUUAGUGAUUGAGUUAAUGGACACAAUUAUUAAGUAUAUUUAACCAUUAACACUCGGAUAUUUAACCAUUUCACCUACAGCAGAUUUGGAUUCACAGUAAUAUAAUAUGCUUCCCUUGAGUCCAUGCAAUUUGGGCAUGAUUUUCUGAGAGAAAUUAUUCAAAAUUAAUGCAUGAAAACUUUUACAG